CUCCAUUUACCAUACCGAAACAUGCCGACUUUAUAACAAAUAAAGUGAGUUAAAGUAAAGCAACCCGGGAUUGGACAACUUUCUUCGAGAAUAUGCAACAAUUUGGUGACCCGCGACGUUUGGAAGAAAGUCCCGAGAAUCCCGGCGGGCACGACGCUAAAACAACUUCAACAGGCCACACACGUCUGAGGUAAGUAUAACUCAUUGUUUUAAAGAGCCCAUGCCAUUAAAAUCACAUUUUUCCUAUUGUUUGUUAAAUAACAUAGGUCUGAAUAAGUUUGUGAGCUGUGGUAAGUUUGAAAUCUAUGCAGUUUGUCUGCUGAAUGCAAUAGGCAAUGAAAGGAAAAAGGCAGAAGAAAUGAGCCGAUCUGGAUAAGGUGACACUGUGACGUAGCGUUGUCAAAUUAUUAUUCAUGGCCCUGCCCUCUUGGUUGGUUCGUAACCACCCACAAGAAUUCUGAAGGAGUCGUGAUUGAGCUAGUGCUAAAUGCUAAUACGUGUAGUUGCUUAGUUCGUAGUAACAGGCUAGUUACAGAAUUUUGAAUGCAAUGGCAGAACGACAUCGAACUACAUGAACUGCGACAUGCUGCCUGCCGCCGGUUGCCGCGAGGCAGCGCACGGUUCUGUCUACUACAGAUUGAUGUGGAAGUGGAAGAACCAGAGACGUCGGAGAACCCGACGAAGUCCUUUGUGAUUCAUUAUAUCUUCUGGACGUGCACACAGCUUUUGGCCGUGAUAAUAUGUAUUAUUUGAUAUAGAUAUCUAUGUAUUAUAUGAUAUUAUUUAGAUAUAGAGCAGAGCUCCAGGACUGUAACGCAAGUGUUGUACACUUCCUUGUUAUUUGGAUAACCGUUCUGCUGUUGGUGUGAUGGCGUAUAACACGUCGGACUCUCGUCUAUGGUAUUUCUACAACUAGACCCGUAGUGGGGGUUAUCUCAGCCAUGGUUGAGAAUGAAUUGGGGGAAAGGAACUUUGGCUUUGACUCCCUGAAGUCAUGAACCACGACAUGGAGGAGAAAGGGAUUGUUGACCGCGGUCGUCUCCCGGCGGAGCCUCGCUGCCGAUGGACCACCGCCUCGUCUUCAGGAUGCGGUGAUUAGCGCUGACCGCUGCCGAGGCGGCGGGAAGCAGGGCUCAAGCGGGAUACAUUCGCGGCCAACAAUCCCUUUCUCCUCCAUGUCGUGGUUCAUGUAGCCUACUUCAGGGAGUCAAAGCCAAAGUUCCUUUCCCCCAAUUCAUUCUCAACCAUGGCUGAGAUAACCCCCACUACGAGUCUCGUUUUAGAAACACCAGAGACGAGAGUCCGACGUGUUAUGCGCCAUCACACCAACAGCAGAACGGUUAUCCAAAUAACAAGGAAGUGUACAACACUUGCGUUACAGUCCUGGAGCUCUGCUCUAUAUCUAAAUAAUAUCAUAUAAUACAUAGAUAUCUAUAUCAAAUAAUACAUAUUAUCACGGCCAAAAGCUGUGUGCGCGUCCAGACGAUAUAAUGAAUCACAAAGGACUUCGUCGGGUUCUCUGACGUCUCUGGUUCUUCCACUUCCACAUCAAUCUGAAGUAGACGCGGUCGUUUGAGAUUCAUAAUAACCUAUCGUCUGGAGGCUCACACAGCCUUUGGCCGUGAUAAUAUAUAUUAUAUAUUAUAUGAUAUAGAUAUCUAUGUAUAAUAUGGGUUUCUAAGAGCCAUUGCGAUACAUCCACCGUAAACAGAGCGCAUGGUACCGUGGCUACAAGCUGCUCAGGGCCAGGUGAUAAUAUAUAUUAUAUAUUAUAUGAUAUAGAUAUCUAUGUAUAAUAUGGGUUUCUACGAGCCAUUGCGAUGCAUCCACCGUAAACAGAGCGCAUGGUACUGUCAGUGGCUACAAGCUGCUCAGGGCCACACCCCCACCCCCCUCCUUGACCUGCCUUGACACGCCCACCGUAUACAGAGCGCAUGGUAGUGGCUACAAGCUGCUCAGGGCCACACCCCCACCCCCCUCCUUGACCUGCCUUGACACGCCCACCGAAACAGUGCGUUUGGGGGAAGCUCAAUGUGCGACUGUUUCGGAGUGACUGUAACACUGCACCACGGCUGAAUUUCGGGGACGUCUUUGAAUACUGUGUUUGUGGCCCACUAAUACCUAUAUUAAAGCAUCAUAAAAUAGAAUGGCAUGGGAUCUUUAAAGAUUAAGGGCCCUAUCUUGCAUCCGGCGCAAGUGACUUAGUCACUGGCGCAUGUGUCGUUGCUAGUUUACAACUGGCGCAGAGUGCUCUUUUGCCACCUGCGCCACUCGCCGGUAAAUUAGGGAAUGAUCUUGCGCCCCAAGGGGCGGUUCGGCGGAAGGAGGAGGCGUGUUCUGGCGCAAACGGUAUUUUGCCGUCUCUGAAUACCAUUGCGCUACUGACCAGGAAAUACCUGGUUUAAAGUCAGUGGCGCGUUGUACAGAUGCUAUUUUAAGGGCGCAAGCAUACAUGCGCAUGCGAUGCAUACGGAUUGCUUGUGCACCUCGCGCAUACACUUUGCUUCUCUCAUCUACCUAGCCGCACAUUCUUGGUAAAUUAUUUGGGAAAGAACAGCUGAUGCAGCGGUAAUAAGUUGUAGGCUACUUUUUAAUCAAUGCAUCUGCAAACACCGUAUAGCAAACGCAUAUUUUCUUGACACAGACAUCGUGUAGGCCUACAUGCCCAUAACUUUUAGGAUUGAUGAGUAGGCCUAUUUGAUCGUGAAAAACAUUGUUUUACCGCGAGUGAGUGUUAAAAAGAAUUAAUGAAUGCGGGCGCGCGUGUGUGCUCUAUUUAAACACACGCAAACUAAACACUCUCAUCAUCAUCUCAUCUUCGUCCGCUUAUCGGGGGUCGGGUCGCGGGGGGAGCAGCUCAAGCAGGGGGCCCCAGACUUCCCUUUCCCGGGCCACAUUGACCAGCUCUGACGGGGGGAUCCCGAGGCGUUCCCAAGCCAGUGUUGAGAUAUAAUCUCUCCACCUAGUCCUGGGUCUUCCCCGAGGUCUCCUCCCCACUGGACGUGCCUGAAACACCUCCCAAGGAAGGCGCCCAGUGGGCAUCGUUACCAGAUGCCGGAACCACCUCAGCUGACUCCAUUCUAAGUAAAGAAGCAGCGGCUCUAAUCCGAGUUCCUCACGGAUGGCUGAGCUUCUCACCCUAUCCCUAAGGGAGACGCCAGCCACCCUUCUGAGAAAACUCAUCUCGGCCGCUUGUACCCGCGAUCUCGUCCUU
ensembl:lncRNA